rnacentral:rRNA from 1 species
UUGACUGUGCUAAGGUAGCAUAAUAAAUUGGCUUUUAAUUGAAGUCGGGAAUGAAAGGGUGUUUGGAGUUAUUCUGUCUUAUUUUUAUUUUUUAAAAAUUACUAAUGAGGUGAAAAUUCCUCAAUGUUUUAUGAUAGACGAGAAGACCCUAAGAAUUAUUACAACUAUUAAAUUAAAUUAAUAAAAGUUUUUGUUGGGGCAACAGCUUUGAAUAACCAAAGUUAAAAUUUAUUAUAAAAAGAUUAUAUUAAAAACGGAUUUAAUUACCUUAGGGAUAACAGCAUAAUUAAAUUUUAGAUUGUGACCUCGAUGUUGGAUUAAGGCCU